CUUUCUUUCACCUUCGUGCCUGCUGGAGGGAGAUGAGAGAUGUGUGAAGCAGAGCUGAAUUGCUCCAGCCAACACAGAACUAAUCCAGAGGUAUAAGUCAUAAGCAGGCAUGCAGAAGAGCCUCAGAUGUUCAGGUAGAAGAAAUUUGAAGACAUGGCAAGAUGCCAGAAACAUGUGUGUGCACAGAGGAAAUGUGAUUUGAUGACACAAUGAGAAGACAGUCAUCUGUGAGCCCAGGGGAGAAACUUCAGAAUGAAACCAACCCUGGAUACCUUGAUGUUGGAAUUCUAGCCUUUGCGACUUUGGUUUACAGGAUAGCACUGCAGAAUCCAUCUGAAUAGCUAGACAAAAUGUCUGAGAGUUAAUUAAAGAAAUUAUUGAUGAAAUGUCAUUUGUUUCUGAAGCUUA